rnacentral:ncRNA from 1 species
UAAUAAAAAUGUUUAUAGUUUAGAAAAUUUAUUUUAAAUUUAUUUUACAUAUAAAUUUUAGUAUUUAAAUUAUUUAAAUAAUAAAUUAAAUUUUAUGUAGUAAUUAAUAUUAAAUAUUUAAGAAAUUAAGAAUUAGUAAUAUAAAAAUUAAUAACAAAUUUUGUGCCAGCAGUUGCGGUUAUACAAAAGUUAAAUUAAAUUUUAUUAGUUAAUUAAUUAAUAAAUUAAUUUAAUUAAAAAUUUAAAUUAUUAGGUGAAAUUUUAAUUUAAUAAAAAGUUAAUAUUAAUUUUAUGAUUUAAUAAAUUUUUUUUAAAAACUAGGAUUAGAUACCCUAUUAUUAAAUUUUAAAUUUUAAAAUACUAAAAUAGUAAGUAAUUAUUUAUUGAAACUUAAAUAAUUUGGCGGUAUUUUAGUUCAUUUAGAGGAAUCUGUUUAAUAAUUGAUAGUCCACGAAUAAAUUUACUUAAUUUAAAAUUUUGUAUAUCGUUGUUAAAAAAAUAUUUUUUAAUAAUAAUUAAUAUUUAAAAAUUAAUAUUAAAAUUAAAUCAGAUCAAGAUGCAGAUUAUAAUUAAGAAUAUAAUGGAUUACAAUAAUUUUAUUUAAAUGAAUAAUAAACUUGAAAAAGUUUUUUGAAAGUGGAUUUAAAUGUAAUUUUAUUUAAUUUAAUAAAAUGAUUAUAAAUUGAAAUAUGUACAUAUUGCCCGUCGCUUUCAUAUAUUUAUAAAUUGGAAUAAGUCGUAACAAAGUAGAGGUACUGGAAAGUGUUUCUAGAAAGAU